rnacentral:rRNA from 1 species
AUGGGGUGCANCNNGCGAGAAAACUUUGCAAUGUGCGAAAGCACGACAAGGUUAAUCCGAGUGAUUUCUGCUAAAGGAAUCUUUUGUUNNUUCUAAAAAUACUAGUGAAUAAGGGGUGGGCAAGUUCUGGUGUCAGCCGCCGCGGUAAAACCAGCACCUCAAGUGGUCAGGAGGAUUAUUGGGCCUAAAGCAUCCGUAGCCUGUUCUAUAAGUUUGCGGUUAAAUCUAUACGCUCAACGUAUAGGCUGCCGUAAAUACUGUAGAACUAGGGAGUGGGAGAGGUAGACGGUACUCGAUAGGAAGGGGUAAAAUCCUUUGAUCUAUUGAUGACCACCUGUGGCGAAGGCGGUCUACCAGAACACGUUCGACGGUGAGGGAUGAAAGCUGGGGGAGCAAACCGGAUUAGAUACCCGGGUAGUCCCAGCUGUAAACGAUGCAGACUCGAUGAUGCAAUGGCAUAGAGCUAUUGCAGUAUCGCAGGGAAGCCGUUAAGUUUGCCGCCUGGGAAGUACGUACGCAAGUAUGAAACUUAAAGGAAUUGGCGGGGGAGCAC